GACGAACGCUGGCGGCGUGCUUAACACAUGCAAGUCGAACGGAAAGGCCCUGCUUUUGUGGGGUGCUCGAGUGGCGAACGGGUGAGUAACACGUGAGUAACCUGCCCUUGACUUUGGGAUAACUUCAGGAAACUGGGGCUAAUACCGGAUAGGAGCUCCUGCUGCAUGGUGGGGGUUGGAAAGUUUCGGCGGUUGGGGAUGGACUCGGGGCUUAUCAGCUUGUUGGUGGGGUAGUGGCUUACCAAGGCUUUGACGGGUAGCCGGCCUGAGAGGGUGACCGGCCACAUGGGGACUGGGGAACGGCCCGGACGCAAACGGGGGGCAGGAGUGGGAAUAUUGCACAAUGGGCGGAAGCCUGAUGCAGCAACGCCGCGUGCGGGAUGACGGCCUUCGGGUUGUAAACCGCUUUCGCCUGUGACGAAGCGUGAGUGACGGUAAUGGGUAAAGAAGCACCGGCUAACUACGUG
rnacentral:rRNA from 1 species